GAAGUGAAGAAAGUACAACAAAAGAAGGGAAGCAUUUUAGAAUGGGCAGAGACCUUAGUUUUUAGAGCUCAGAAAAAAAUCACACAGCUAGAAAAAUGUUAGAAAUCAGCUACUGCAAUACUUUGAGUCUUCUGGAAGAAAGUGAAGAUUAGAAAAGUUAGCUCCACAGCAGCACAGUGGAAUUAGGACGCAUAGUUCCUGAGACUGUCUGUCAUGAGUUGUGCAUACUAGGCAAAGAAGACUAGAAUUAUGGCAACCUCACCAUGUUGUUUCUUUCUCACUUAGAAAUUGCUGUGGUUUUCUCUUUGUACUACUGGCCUCUCCUAAUUUCUCCACCAUGAGAAAACCAGACAGGUACAUUGAGAAGCACAAUUAUGAAGCCUAAGACCCACAAGGCUUUGGAGCCAGACCACUGGAUAUUUCAAUGGCUCCAUCCUCUACCAGCCUGUGAUCUUGGGUAUAUUACAUUUCCAGCGUCUGUUUCUUGGCCCAGUAUUGGACACUGUAUGACUAACCUUGUAGGAAUCUGGGGAACACUGGAGAUAAUUUCCUCAAAACAUUGCAGUGUAGGAAACAUCUACAGCACUUAACAUGACUACAAGUGUAUGCUAAUUUAAAAAAUAAUUAUGAACUUUUUCAAACAUACAGGAGAGCAUGGAAAAUAAUAUACCAUCACCAAUUCAUUGGCUUAAGGACGUCAACUUCCAGAUGCUGUGGUUUCAUUUCAUCAAGUGCCUGACAGCUUUCUGAAAUUUCCUCCUUGCCCUUCAGACCAUCCACAG